AACUUUUAGCAAUGGAUCACUUGGCUCUCGCAUCGAUGAAGAACGCAGCGAAAUGCGAUACGUAAUGUGAAUUGCAGAAGUCAGUGAAUCAUCGAAUCUUUGAACGCACCUUGCGCCCCUUGGAAUUCCGAGGGGCACACCCGUUUGAGUGUCGGGAACAUCCUUCAACCUUUCUUUGUUUCUUGACCGGGGAAGGCUUGGACGUUGGGUGUCUUUCAUUGAUGGCCUCUUUGAAGCCAGCUCCUCAUAAGUGGACUACUGUGCUCUGAUUGGCCGAUCCUUGACGUGAUAAGAUGUUUCUACGUCUUGGGUUUCGCACUGUCGCUUUAGACCCCGCUUCUAACCGUCUUGCAUUCAAGACAGAGUUUUAAACCUUGACCUCAAAUAGGGUGAGACUACCCGCUGAACUUAAGCAUAUCAAUAAGCGGAGGCU
rnacentral:misc_RNA from 1 species